rnacentral:rRNA from 1 species
UGCGCAGGCGGUUCGUUGUGUCUGUGGUGAAAGCCCCGGGCUUAACCUGGGAAUGGCCAUGGAAACUGGCGAGCUGGAGUGUGGCAGAGGGGGGUGGAAUUCCGCGUGUAGCAGUGAAAUGCGUAGAGAUGCGGAGGAACACCGAUGGCGAAGGCAGCCCCCUGGGUUGACACUGACGCUCAGGCACGAAAGCGUGGGGAGCAAACA